CGUUUCCCGGUUCGCUCGGCCGCGGUCGCUAUGGAGGAGCCGGAGAUGCAGCUCAAGGGGAAGAAAGUCACGGACAAGUUCACUGAGAGCGUCUACGUCCUGGCCAACGAGCCAUCCGUGGCCCUGUACCGGCUGCAGGAGCAUGUGCGUCGCUCCCUCCCCGAGCUGGCCCAGCACAAGGCAGACAUGCAGCGUUGGGAGGAGCAGAGCCAGGGAGCCAUCUACACUGUGGAGUACGCCUGCAGCGCCGUGAAGAACCUGGUGGACAGCAGCGUCUACUUCCGCAGCGUGGAGGGUCUGCUCAAACAGGCCAUCAGCAUCCGGGACCAUAUGAAUGCCAGUGCCCAGGGCCACAGACAAAGAUCAUUCCACUCAGCCUGGGACGAUGGGGAGGAAAAAAAUCCAGAUCUCCCGCAUCCUGGACCAAAGGAAUCGGCAGGUGACGUUCACCAAGCGGAAGUUCGGGCUGAUGAAGAAGGCCUAUGAGCUGAGCGUGCUCUGUGACUGUGAGAUAGCCCUCAUCAUCUUCAACAGCGCCAACCGCCUCUUCCAGUAUGCCAGCACGGACAUGGACCG
rnacentral:lncRNA from 1 species